rnacentral:rRNA from 1 species
AAUGGGUCAGCGACUUAUAUUCUGUAGCAAGGUUAACCGUAUAGGGGAGCCGGAGGGAAACCGAGUCUUAAUUGGGCGUUAAGUUGCAGGGUAUAGACCCGAAACCCGGUGAUCUAGCCAUGGGCAGGUUGAAGGUUGGGUAACACUAACUGGAGGACCGAACCGACUAAUGUUGAAAAAUUAGCGGAUGACCUGUGGCUGGGGGUGAAAGGCCAAUCAAACCGGGAGAUAGCUGGUUCUCCCCGAAAGCUAUUUAGGUAGCGCCUCGUGAAUUCAUCUCCGGGGGUAGAGCACUGUUUCGGCUAGGGGGCCAUCCCGGCUUACCAACCCGAUGCAAACUGCGAAUACCGGAGAAUGUUAUCACGGGAGACACACGGCGGGUGCUAACGUCCGUCGUGAAGAGGGAAACAACCCAGACCGCCAGCUAAGGUCCCAAAGUCAUGGUUAAGUGGGAAACGAUGUGGGAAGGCCCAGACAGCCAGGAUGUUGGCUUAGAAGCAGCCAUCAUUUAAAGAAAGCGUAAUAGCUCACUGGUCGAGUCGGCCUGCGCGGAAGAUGUAACGGGGCUAAACCAUGCACCGAAGCUGCGGCAGCGACACUGUGUGUUGUUGGGUAGGGGAGCGUUCUGUAAGCCUGUGAAGGUGUGUCGUGAGGCAUGCUGGAGGUAUCAGAAGUGCGAAUGCUGACAUAAGUAACGAUAAAGCGGGUGAAAAGCCCGCUCGCCGGAAGACCAAGGGUUCCUGUCCAACGUUAAUCGGGGCAGGGUGAGUCGACCCCUAAGGCGAGGCCGAAAGGCGUAGUCGAUGGGAAACGGGUUAAUAUUCCCGUACUUGGUGUUACUGCGAAGGGGGGACGGAGAAGGCUAUGUUGGCCGGGCGACGGUUGUCCCGGUUUAAGCGUGUAGGUGUGUGUUCCAGGUAAAUCCGGUUCACUUUAACACUGAGGCGUGAUGACGAGGCACUACGGUGCUGAAGCAACAAAUGCCCUGCUUCCAGGAAAAGCCUCUAAGCAUCAGGUAACAUCAAAUCGUACCCCAAACCGACACAGGUGGUCAGGUAGAGAAUACCAAGGCGCUUGAGAGAACUCGGGUGAAGGAACUAGGCAAAAUGGUGCCGUAACUUCGGGAGAAGGCACGCUGACACGUAGGUGAAGUGAUUUACUCAUGGAGCUGAAGUCAGUCGAAGAUACCAGCUGGCUGCAACUGUUUAUUAAAAACACAGCACUGUGCAAACACGAAAGUGGACGUAUACGGUGUGACGCCUGCCCGGUGCCGGAAGGUUAAUUGAUGGGGUCAGCGCAAGCGAAGCUCCUGAUCGAAGCCCCGGUAAACGGCGGCCGUAACUAUAACGGUCCUAAGGUAGCGAAAUUCCUUGUCGGGUAAGUUCCGACCUGCACGAAUGGCGUAAUGAUGGCCAGGCUGUCUCCACCCGAGACUCAGUGAAAUUGAACUCGCUGUGAAGAUGCAGUGUACCCGCGGCAAGACGGAAAGACCCCGUGAACCUUUACUAUAGCUUGACACUGAACAUUGAGCCUUGAUGUGUAGGAUAGGUGGGAGGCUUUGAAGUGUGGACGCCAGUCUGC